rnacentral:rRNA from 1 species
UACGGAGGGAGCUAGCGUUGUUCGGAAUUACUGGGCGUAAAGCGCACGUAGGCGGCUUUGUAAGUUAGAGGUGAAAGCCCGGAGCUCAACUCCGGAACUGCCUUUAAGACUGCAUCGCUUGAAUCCAGGAGAGGUGAGUGGAAUUCCGAGUGUAGAGGUGAAAUUCGUAGAUAUUCGGAGGAACACCAGAAGCGAAGGCGGCUCACUGGCCCGAGACUGACGCUGAGGCGCGAAAGCGUGGGGAGCGAACAGG